rnacentral:rRNA from 1 species
CUCAAAGAUUAAGCCAUGMAGUGGUUAUUUAACCCGACAGUUUAACUAAGUGUUAUUAACGUCAAUAGAUUACUAAUCUAUACAACCCACGUAACAGUGAAUGCACAUUUCACUUACGCAACUGCAGACAGCUGCUUAAUACAGUCACACUUGUCUUGACUUGGCUAUUGCUAUAUUCACGCUUAAUGCGCGAAUCGGCACUACACAACACAUACUUGCUUACGAUAAUAAUUAUAUUAUUAUCGGGUAAUACGUGAUUUCUUCACUGAGAAGCUAUUGCAUUACUGCAGUACGCUUAUCAUACCAUUACAACACAUCUUAUGGAUAACUCAGGGAAAGUUUGGCUAAUACGUACGAGUCACAUUACUUCACACAGCAAUUGUUAUUCGCAAUCUGUCGCGUCUACCGCAUUCAUGAAACAAACAUUAAUUAUAAAUGCGCGCGCGCACUCAUCUGCGAAAUAACUAAACUAAUUACUCAGCACUCAAUGGUAAACUUAUGCGUCUGCGUACUUCUGUCUUCGGACGAUGCGCUUACGCAUGAUUCGUUUAACUGCAACAUGAGAGACAUUGAGCACGCAGUCUUUCGAUCCUUCGUGAUUGAUUGACAUCUACGCUGAGCAGACUUUAAGAUUCUUAAUCUUGAAGCAUGUCAUACAAGCAUCUAUAGCAUCAAGUCACAGGGUUGGCAAGUGUAUUUUUGAACCUUCAAAGCAGUCACGCAUACGGAAGAGUAGUUUCUGAUCCCAUAGAAGGAGCACUGUACAUUGAGAGACCGCUCUUAGUUCUAAGGAACGCAGCAGGCGCGUAAAUUGCCCAAUAAUAGUACAAAAACACAGUGAACAUUUCUAGCUCUCAUAUCAUCUAUUGAGGCAGUGAUAAGCUGUAACGGUUGAGUAUUAAUCUAAUUUGACGUGUAUAUGGCGUGCGUUAUACGUUUACGCGUAUAUUACUGCAUACGCCGAUACUAUGUGUGCUCAGUCUGGAAUGCGGUGAGUCUAAACAACUCAGAACCUACGUUAUCAUAUACGUGUAUCUGAAUUUUCAAGUGGAGGGCAAGUCUGGUGCCAGCAGCCGCGGUAAUACCAGCUCCACUGGCCUAUACAAUCAUUGUUGCGGUUAAGAGGCUCGUAGUUGGAUUGAACUAAAUAUUUUUAUAUAUAUUUACAACACUGUGAUCAAAUCAGCAUGUAUCACGUAUGUAUUACUAAUACACGCAUUGUAUGUUUAUUCAUGGAAUGUUGCUCUGUAUUUUAUUAUACAAUUAUACGUCGAUGGGGAUAGUUGGAGUCAACAGUACUAGUAGGCGAGCGGUGAAAUGCAUUGACCCUUUCAAGACUACCAAAAGCGAAAGCAGUUGUCUAGGCUAUAUUCUUUGUACUUGUAUACCAUCAUUAUACAAUACACAUACACACUUUACAAUGAAGAACGAAGGUUGGGGGAUCAAAGAGGAUCAGAUACCCUCGUCGUCCCAUUUUAUACAUCAAACGAUGGGUUCUCACUCGACCAAAAAUACAUAUCAAGACUUGUAGUACAUACUUCUGUACUCGUCUAUAUUACUGAUUUUCUAAGCUUUGCGCUCAAUUUUAUACGGUGAGAUGUAAGUAAUGGCUGUAUCUUUAUGAUGCAUGCUAUAUUAUGAUGCACGUAUUAGGCAUGCGCUUACUGCAGAAAUGUCUGAGAUAUUCCCCUCCGGGGGUAGUAUGCACGCAAGUGUGAAACUUGAAGGAAUUGACGGAAGGGCACCACAAGAACGCGUGGAGCAUGUGGCUUAAUUUGACUCAACGCGGGAAAUCUUACCGGGUCCGGACACACUGAGGAUUGACAGACAAACACAUUUAUGUGUUAUAAAGAUGCUAGUUCUUUCAUGAUUAUGUGAUAGGUGGUGCAUGGCCGUUCUUAGUUCGUGGAGUGAUCCGUCUGCUUAAUUGCGUUUCAAUAUUUUAUUACGUAUACGUAUGACCAACUACCUUUACCGGUAUGUUUGUGUCUAGUAUGCUAUCAUUUGAAAGCAACGAACGUGACCGUAUCCUUUUAUUAUGUACGCACGCGUAUAUUUAUUUCAUUAAAGGGACCGCUGUUUCUUUCUUUAAACCAGAGGAAGGUUACGGCAAUAACAGGUCUGUGAUGCCCUUCGAUGUUCCGGGCUGCACACGUGCUACAAUGAUUAUUUCAUUAAGUAUCUAAUCUUUUUAUGUAUCGUACCUCUGUGUAUGUUCAAAAAUACCUACCCUGAGAAUGGGCGGGUAAUCAAUUAGAAGUAAUGAUUUCCUUUUUUUAAUACGCAACUAUGUACCGUAUAUUACAUCCCACAUAUUUUCAAUAUAUGUGCGUGUGUGUUUUAUUACCGUGUACGCGUAACUGUUAAUUCAUGGUGGGGAUAGACCAUUGUUAAUUGUUGGUCUCGGUCUUAACUAGGAAUGCCUUGUACGGGUCAUUGGUUCAACAAACCACCCGGAAUACGUCCCUGCCCUUUGUACACACCGCCCGUCGCUCUUACCGAUGAACUUCGCUAUGAAUCUAUUGGACUGUGCUCUCUUAUGAGUGCGGAAAGAUAUAUGAAUAGUGUGGUUUAAAGGAAAGAGAAGUCGUAACAAGGCAUCAGUAGGUGAACCUGCUGAUGGAUCAUUA